UGCUGGUGUUUUAUCCAAGUGUGCCCCACCUCUUCCCAUUCCGAACAGAGAAGUGAAAGCGCUUGGACUCGAUGAUACUUAGACUUUCGGGUUUUGGGAAAGUAGAGUACGCCAGCAU
rnacentral:rRNA from 1 species